UACGUAGGGUGCGAGCGUUGUCCGGAAUUAUUGGGCGUAAAGAGCUCGUAGGCGGUGUGUCACGUCGUUCGUGAAAACCUGCAGCUUAACUGUGGGCGUGCGGUCGAUACGGGCAUCACUGGAGUUCGGCAGGGGAGACUGGAAUUCCUGGUGUAGCGGUGAAAUGCGCAGAUAUCAGGAGGAACACCGGUGGCGAAGGCAGCCCCCCUGGGCCAACACUGACGCUCAGGCACGAAAGCGUGGGGAGCAACAGG
rnacentral:rRNA from 1 species